GGGAAUAGAUAGGUACUGGUGUGCCUGCCAGUCUUCAAAACUGUGCAGUCGUGCUAAUAACACGAUUGGUGGGUUCGAUUCCCACAUGUUCCC
rnacentral:tRNA from 1 species